rnacentral:rRNA from 1 species
AGAGUUUGAUCCUGGCUCAGAAUGAACGUUGGCGGCGUGGAUUAGGCAUGCAAGUCGAGCGAGGAGUAUUGGUAGCAAUACUGGUACAUUCGAGCGGCGUAAGGGGCAGUAAUACCUGGGAACGUACCCUCUGGUCGGGGAUAGCUGCUGGAAACGGCGAGUAAUACCCGAUGAUACCGGAAGGUCAAAGGCUUGCCGCCGGAGGAGCGGCCCAGGCGAUAUUAGCUAGUUGGUGGGGUAAUGGCCUACCAAGGCUUAGAUGUCUAGCGGGUGUGAGAGCACGACCCGCGCCACUGGCACUGAGACACUGGCCAGACACCUACGGGUGGCUGCAGUCGAGAAUCUUCGGCAAUGGGCGAAAGCCUGACCGAGCGACGCCGCGUGCGGGAUGAAGGCCUUCGGGUUGUAAACCGCUUUGGUCCGAGAGAAAGGGCAACUUGAUCGAUCGGAGAAACAAGGACGGGCUAAGUUCGUGCCAGCAGCCGCGGUAAGACGAACCGUCCAAACGUUAUUCGGAAUCACUGGGCUUAAAGGGCGCGUAGGCGGCCGAGCGGGUCGCGGGUGAAAUCCUCCAGCUUAACUGGAGAACUGCCCUCGAUACCACUGCGGCUCGAGGAAGGAAGGGGCAAUGGGAACUGUCGGUGGAGCGGUGAAAUGCGUUGAUAUCGACAGGAACGCCUGUGGCGAAAGCGCAUUGCUGGUCCUUUUCUGACGCUGAGGCGCGAAAGCCAGGGGAGCAAACGGGAUUAGAUACCCCGGUAGUCCUGGCCUUAAACGAUGAGAACUAGGUAGUGGGUCCG